UACUACGGCCAUGCCAUCCUGAACGUGCCCAAUCUGUCGGAUCUCGGAAGCUAAGCAGGGUCGGGCCUGGUUAGUACUUAGAUGGGAGACCACUUAGGAAGACCAGAUGCUGUAGGCA
rnacentral:rRNA from 1 species